rnacentral:rRNA from 1 species
UACGUAGGUGGCAAGCGUUGUCCGGAAUUAUUGGGCGUAAAGGGCGCGUAGGCGGUCCCUUAAGUCAGAUGUGAAAUCCCGAGGCUCAACUUCGGGCGUGCAUUUGAAACUGGGGGACUAGAGUGCAGGAGAGGUAAGUGGAAUUCCUAGUGUAGCGGUGAAAUGCGUAGAUAUUAGGAGGAACACCAGUGGCGAAGGCGACUUACUGGACUGUAACUGACGCUGAGGCGCGAAAGCGUGGGGAGCAAAC